GACAAAAUAGGAUAUGCCCAACUCUCACUAGAAGAGAGAGGAAAGGGAGGCUGAAAGAGAGCCACAGUAACUGGGAAGGUUGUUUUCGGGCAGGCAGGCAGGCAUCCCUUAACGCCGGGUGCAGGAGGCUGGAGGACGCUCCAACCCCUCCAGAGGGUGUGGGGAAAAACUCCACUCCUGUUUGGUCUUAUAGACUCCAGACCAGCGUGAGCCAGCAGAGUCACCAGGUAACCUGUUUGUUCUGCCCGAGGAAGGGACCAUUGAUCUCUGUGUUAAUUCUUCUUCUUUGUGUUCCUGGACUUGGACUGACUGAAAUUUUUGGAUAUGGGACAGUAACUUUCUGCCACCCCUCUGGGUCUGGUCCUGGAGCAUUGGGAUGAGGUCCAGGCAUGUGCACACAACUUGUAAAUAGACAUAAAAAGAAACUCCAGA
rnacentral:lncRNA from 1 species